rnacentral:lncRNA from 1 species
AACAAUGCCCUUGAUGUUUAUUUUAGAGACAAAAUUAAAUUAAAUAAUUAAAACUAAAAUAAAAUCCAACACUUAAAUAUAAAUAAAAUAAAAAUAAACACAUUAUUAAUUCUAUUUAAUCAUUUUAAAUAUUUUGAAAAAAAUAAAAAUAAAAAGACUCUAAAUGAAUAAAAAUCAGAUGCAAAAGUGCUCGAAAAAUUAAAAUGAAUGCACCACAAUGGUCAGUGCGAAAUAAACUUAUUGGAAAAAUACAACGUUCCUUUUAAUUUUGAAAUAAU